GGGGUAUAUGCUCAGCUAUCUGUAUAAUACUAUAGUACUGUUCUCUGGAUAAUACAGAUCUGUGUGUGUAUAAUAUCGCGGGACAGUCAGUGCUCCCUGUAUAGUCCUGCUCUCUGUAAAUACAGGUCUGUGUGUAUAAUAUCCUGGGACAGCCAGUGCUCCCUGUAUAGUGCUGCUCUCUGUAUAAUACAGGGCUAUGUGUAUAAUAUCCCAGGACAGUCAGUGCUCACUGUAUGGUGCUGCUCUCUGUAUAAUACAGGACUGUGUGUAUGAUAUCCUGGGAAAGUCAGUGCUCCCUUUAUAGUGCUGCUCUCUGUAUAAUACAGGUUUGUGUCUGUAUAAUAUCCUGGGACAGUCAAUGCUCCCUGUAUAGUGCUGCUCUCUGUAUAUUACAGGUCUGUGUAUAAUAUCCUGGGACAGUCAG